rnacentral:rRNA from 1 species
GACGUAGGGCGCGGAGCGUUGUCCGGAUUUAUUGGGCGUAAAGGAGCUCGUAGGCGGUCUGUCGCGUCGGGAGUGAAAACCUCAGGGCUUAACCCUGAGCCUGCUUCCGAUACGGGCAGACUAGAGGUAUGCAGGGGAGAACGGAAUUCCUGGUGUAGCGGUGAAAUGCGCAGAUAUCAGGAGGAACACCGGUGGCGAAGGCGGUUCUCUGGGCAGUAACUGACGCUGAGGAGCGAAAGCGUGGGGAGCGAACAGG